rnacentral:rRNA from 1 species
UACGGAGGGGGCUAGCGUUGUUCGGAAUUACUGGGCGUAAAGCGCACGUAGGCGGCUCUGUAAGUUAGAGGUGAAAGCCCGGGGCUCAACCCCGGAAUUGCCUUUAAGACUGCAUCGCUAGAAUUGUGGAGAGGUAAGUGGAAUUCCGAGUGUAGAGGUGAAAUUCGUAGAUAUUCGGAAGAACACCAGUGGCGAAGGCGACUUACUGGACACAUAUUGACGCUGAGGUGCGAAAGCGUGGGGAGCAAACAGG